ACAAACCCUCUAGUGGUUGUCUGUGACAUCACUUCACUGAUGACUGCUUGGUGAACCUCGGCCUGUACCAGAAUGGAUUGUCCAAGAGAUUCAUUCUUAAAACUGCUGCAGUUCCUGCAAUAAAACCACAUGGAUGGAGAUGCCAGAGCUGUCACAGAGCUCCAGGGAGCUUUGCACAACUGGUGCUACAAGCGACGUGACAUUUCUGUACAGCCACAAGGGAACUCGGCUGAAAAGAAAAGAAAACAGGCCUCCUCUGAAGCGCAGCGUCAGACCACAAGCCCCACAGAGUCGGAAACAAGAUACAGCACCAAGUACCAGCCAUGAGCCCACAAGUCCUGAAUGGGCUGGUA